UACAGAGGGUGCAAACGUUGUCCGGAAUAAUUGGGCGUAAAGCGCACGUAGGCGGCCUAGCAAGUAGGGAGUGAAAGCCCUCGGCUUAACCGAGGAAGUGCUUUCUAAACUACUAGGCUUGAAUACUGGAGAGGGUCGCGGAAUUCCCGGUGUAGAGGUGAAAUUCGUAGAUAUCGGGAGGAACACCAGUGGCGAAGGCGGCGACCUGGACAGAUAUUGACGCUGAGGUGCGAAAGCGUGGGGAGCAAACAGG
rnacentral:rRNA from 1 species